rnacentral:rRNA from 1 species
CUGCCAGUAGUCAUAUGCUUGUCUCAAAGAUUAAGCCAUGCAUGUCUAAGUCCAAGCUGUGUUCACACGGCGAGACCGCGGACGGCUCAUUAAAUCAGUCGUGGUCCAAAUGGGCCAGUGCAAAUCCUACUUGGAUAACUGUGGUAAUUCCAGAGCUAAUACAUGCAACUGAUAUCCCGAAGGCGGUGUUGGGGCUUGCUUGCCUUGCGCUGCGCUGCUCUGACGGAUGCUUUUAUUAGACCAAGCCGCUGAGGACUUGAGGGUUCGCGCUCUCUUGUUUGACUCGUGUGAUGGUGACUCUGGAUAACCAAAUUCUGACAAGCGCACGUACUUCUCUUCUGAGCGAGACGGCGCUGCCACUUUCGAGUGUCUGCCUUAUCAGCUAUCAACCGUUCGUUAUGCGCGACCGAUGGCUUUGACGGGUAACGGGGAAUCAGGGUUCGAUUCCGGAGAGGCAGCCUGAGAGACGGCUACCACGUCCAAGGACGGCAGCAGGCACGCAAAUUACCCAAUCCCAGCAAAUGGGGGAGGUAGUGACGAAAUCUAACGAUGCGGGCGCCCUUUCUGGGGCCCCGCAAUCGGAAUGGGCACUUUCUAAACAACCUGUUGAGAAC